rnacentral:rRNA from 1 species
CAUUACAGAGUUCAUGCCCUUGCGGGUAGAUCUCCCACCCUUGAAUACCUAUACCUCUGUUGCUUUGGCGGGCCGCCUCGGCUACUGGCUCUGGCUAGUAAGCGCCCGCCAAAGAACCCCCAAACUCUGAAUGUUAGUGUCGUCUGAGUACUAUAUAAUAGUUAAAACUUUCAACAACGGAUCUCUUGGUUCUGGCAUCGAUGAAGAACGCAGCGAAAUGCGAUAAGUAAUGUGAAUUGCAGAAUUCAGUGAAUCAUCGAAUCUUUGAACGCACAUUGCGCCCCUUGGUACUCCGAGGGGCAUGCCCGUUCGAGCGUCAUUAUAACCCCUCAAGCUCAGCUUGGUGUUGGGGCCUGCUGUUACCGGCAGCCCUUAAAAUCAGUGGCGGUGCCACCUGGCUCUAAGCGUAGUAAUACUUUUCGCUACAGGGUCCCGGUGGAUGCCUGCCAUCAACCCCUAAUUUUCUAUGGUUGACCUCGGAUCGGGUAGGGAUACCC